CAAGGAUUGAGAGGUUAGCGAGGUCAACGCUCCGUCAAGACACAAGAACAUUUCGCGAGGAACAACUCUAGGCACGAUCUGUGAAGAAGUUUGGCCAAGACCUCAACCCGAAGGUGGAGAUCCGAGAAUCGUCUAAGAACGGUAAGUGAACUUCCGACGCUCUUAACUCGUUCGGUAGUCAAGAAAAAAUUACAAAAAAAA